CAUGUCUUGGCUAUUGUGAAUAGAGCUACAAUAGCAGCUGCUUUGUAUAGUUGUUAUGGUGUUCAAACAAGUUAAUAUUUUUCUUAAAAAAAAAAAAAGCAUUUGGAAGCCUGGCACAUAAGCGCUAUAUAUGUGUUAGUUUAUAUCAUCAUUUUAACAAAUGUGUUUUGCAUUCCUCGUUUUUUUUCCCCUCAAAGUUCUGCCCUAAGCCUUCAGGCAGCAGCCCCUGUUUUUCUUAGGGAAGGGAGGCCAUAGCAGAAGAGCAGGAACAAAGACGUGAGUUUUUUGUAGCUUUUGACUUACUAGACAGAUUUUUGUUUCUUCUUUUUCUUUUGACAUUACUUCAGACUUGCAGAAAAGCCACAGAAAUGCUCCAGAGGAUUCCCCUCUGCCCUUUAUUCAGCUUCCCCAGAUAGGAACACUUAUCAUCUCCUUGAUCAUCUUCUUUCUCUCUCCUCUAAAUUAUUUAAGAUGGAGUUGCAGACAUGAAACCCCCUUUAUCUCUAAAUACCUUAGUGUGUGUUUCCUAAGAACAUGGACGUUUUCUUUGAAGGAAGGAGGCAUUUUCUUCCAUAACCCUGGUGUAAUUAUCUGAAUCAGGGAAAUGAACAUGGAUGCAUUCUGUAGUUUAAUCUGCAGACCUUAUUCAGGUUUUGCUGAUUGUCCAGGAAUGUCUGUUACAGCAGAAGAAGAUCUCAGAUCAUGAAUCACAGUCAGUUUUCUCAUCUCGUUAGUUUCCUUGAAUCUAGAUAAGCUCUUCACUUUAUGCUCUUCUUUUAUGAUGCUGACAUUUUAAAAAAGAUGACUGACCAAGUGUUUUGUGGAAUGUUCCUCACAUAAGUUUGUCUUACGUUUUUUCCUUAUGAGAUUCAGAUGACAUGUUUUUGGAAGGAAUCUCACGGAAACGAUAUUGUAAGUGUUAAUGCCUCAUACCAGGGGCCACGUUCGCUGUGGGGCUCUCAUGUCCAUUUUGAUAUCUUGGUUAAGAUGAUAUCUGCCAGGUUUCUCCACUGAGAAGAGCCUACAUUUUUUGGUGGUAAAUAUUUUUAUUAUCUUGUAGUGAGAUGUUUUGGAACUGUGUAACUAUCCUAUCCCAUAAAACCUCCAGUCCCCAGUUUUAAUAUCUGGUGAUGAUUCUUCCCUGAAACAAGCAUUUUGUGACGGUUAUCAAAUGUUACUUCUUCUCAUUAUGUUGUGCCUUCCACAUUUGUCAGUUGGCAAUUUCAUCUCAGGAAAACAUUUCCCUUCCCCUCCAUUCAUUCAUUUAUUCACACAGUGUAUUUUAUAAAUGUGUAUUCCAUGUGUAUUAUGUUACAUGCAAACAUGGACACACAUUUAUUGCUAUGGCCUCAUCCUUAUUUCAUGAGGUGGAUUACAUUUUUUUUCUGUAUUUUCAUGCUCAAGUCCCAGAUUUGAGCAGCAGGAGCCCCUUCCAGCUGGCCCUGUGUCCUUUUGACACAGCCCCAUCAAUUUUGGCUCAGCCUUCUGGCACAUGGUGUUCCUGGCUUGCCUUGUACUUAAUUUGCCCUAGUCCUGGAAUCAGCUAUUUCUCUAAGGAACCCUACUUCCUUUUAGUGGAGAUUGUAUCUAAAUGGACAUAUUUAGUGGAGAAAAUGGGUUGAGGAAAAAAAAUGUUCAGAUCUCAAAAGCCAAAUCUCAUGGACCACACAACAGAUUUGGGCAGGAUCUGGUUCUUCACCCUGCCCAGGCUCUCCACAUGACAGGAGAGUGGAAGCCCAAACCCAGCUGCUGACCGUGGUCUAAGAAAGUCCCCGACCCCAGGAGGUGGAGCCCCCUCCUGCUGUUGAAGCUUGGAGACAGUUGCUUUCCCAGAAUCCCUUGCAGCUAGUUCAUAAUGGACUGGGUUGCCUGUGUUUCGGAGCCUAACAGGAGCGUCUGGAUUCCAGUCCCAUCGGGCCGCAUGGCAGUCACCCAGCAGCCUUCUACCUGCCAGAGCUGCCGGGAUGUCUGGGGAGCGGGAGAGCAACGCAGACCAGAUGCCCAGGAUCCUACAGCCAGGCUCAGCCCCCAUCACCUCUGAAAGCAGUUUUUGCUCCAUUUGUUGAAUCCAGGUGUGUGACACUCCGAAUGUUAGAAGCUCGUUGUCGUUUUCUUCCGUAAGUUCAAUGUCAUGUUUUCUCCUGUUCUCCCAAAGAAAACUUUAAAAGCAAACCAUAGCUUCACGCGCGCAACAUCUUCCCACAGUGGAGUAUUACUCAGCCAUUAAAAAGAAUACAUUUGAAUCAGUUCUAGUGAGGUGGAUGAAACUGAGCUGAUUAUACAGAGUGAAGUAAGCCAGAAAGAAAAACACCAAUGCAGUAUACUAACACAUAUAUAUAGAAUUUAGAAAGAUGGUAACGAUAACCCUGUAUGUGAAACAGC
ensembl:lncRNA